rnacentral:sRNA from 1 species
UCCUAGCCCUGAUAGAAGCGACAUCCUUUUUGUUUUUUCUUUAAAAACAAAAAGAUAAAGCGGAUAGCAGGAAACAGC